GGGCCCGUGGUGUAGCUUGGUCUAGCAUUGCAGCUUGGGGUGCUGCCGACCUGGGUUCAAAUCCCAGCGGGCCCA
rnacentral:tRNA from 1 species